rnacentral:rRNA from 1 species
CCUACGGGAGGCAGCAGUGAGGAAUAUUGGUCAAUGGACGAGAGUCUGAACCAGCCAAGUAGCGUGAAGGAUGACUGCCCUAUGGGUUGUAAACUUCUUUUAUAAAGGAAUAAAACGAGGCACGUGUGCCUUUUUGCAUGUACUUUAUGAAUACGGAUCGGCUAACCCCGUGCCAGCAGCCGCGGUAAUACGGAGGAUCCGAGCGUUAACCGGGCUUAUUGGGUUUAAAGGGAGCGUAGAGGGGUUGGUAAGUCAGUUGUGAAAGUUUGCGGCUCAACCGUAAAAUUGCAAUUGAUACUGGCAGUCUUGAGUAAAGUUGAGGUAAGCGGAAUUCGUGGUGAAGCGGUGAAAUGCUUAGAUAUCAGGAAGAACCCCGAUGGCGAAGGCAGCUUACUAAGCUGUGACUGACAUUGAUGCUCGAAAGUGUGGGUAUCAAACAGGAUUAGAUACCCGAGUAGUC